UGCCCGGUGGUGUAAUGGUAACACGCGAGUCUCUGGAACUCGUUUUCUUGGUUCGAAUCCAAGCUGGGCAACCA
rnacentral:tRNA from 1 species